AAUAAGUGCAGCCAUUGUUCAUGUUCAACACUUGACCGUUCGUCUUAUUUAAAAAAAAUUAUGAUUAAUAUUUUUGUUGUUAUUAUAUGAUAAAACAUAAAUAGUAUUUUAUGUGUAAUUAUUUUUUAAAAAAAAUAUAAAUUUUUUAAAUAAGACGGACGAUCAAAAUGUUAGAUAUCUAUGGCUGUACUUAUU
rfam:Oryza rufipogon genomic scaffold, chr05